UGGGGAAUAUUGGACAAUGGGCGCAAGCCUGAUCCAGCCAUGCCGCGUGAGUGAUGAAGGCCCUAGGGUUGUAAAGCUCUUUCACCGGUGAAGAUAAUGACGGUAACCGGAGAAGAAGCCCCGGCUAACUUCGUGCCAGCAGCCGCGGUAAUACGAAGGGGGCUAGCGUUGUUCGGAUUUACUGGGCGUAAAGCGCACGUAGGCGGACUUUUAAGUCAGGGGUGAAAUCCCGGGGCUCAACCCCGGAACUGCCUUUGAUACUGGAAGUCUUGAGUAUGGUAGAGGUGAGUGGAAUUCCGAGUGCAGAGGUGAAAUUCGUAGAUAUUCGGAGGAACACCAGUGGCGAAGGCGACUCACUGGACCAUUACUGACGCUGAGGUGCGAAAGCGUGGGGAGCAAACAGG
rnacentral:rRNA from 1 species